UAAAGUCGUUCUCUAGUAAUCUCUACUUCUCUCUCCCUCGUCUUCAGUUGAAGUUGGAACAUUGGUAUGCUCUCAUCCGUCUUCUACUAGGUAUUCCUCUUUUCUUUUUCAGUUUCUUUGUUUGUAUUGGUAAUUCUUAGGUUGCGGUGCUAUUCAAAGAUUGCGCGGAGAAACUUGGUGUUCGGUUUACUUUAAUAUCCUUGCAAAAUGAGGAUCGGGUCAGCUUUUCCCAUCGUGAGAAAACCACGAGUUUCAGAAGUACUCAGGUGAAGACAAUGUUGAAUCGGUUGGCUCGUGUCGCAAUAGUGAACUCUGACAAAUGCAAGUCUAAAAAAUUGUUGCCAAGAAUGCAAGAGGAGUUGUCCCGUUGUCCGAACUGGUUACCAGUCCCAAGGCCAGGGCAAGUUCUUGGUUUGGUUGGAGGAAUGGUACAGGGAAGUCAACUGCCCUUAAAAUUCUUUCCGGCAAUCUGAAACCAAAUUUGGGUCGCGCGUUUCAAUAAACCUCCGGAUUGGCAGGAGAUCUGAAU